rnacentral:lncRNA from 1 species
GGAGGGAGGGAGAGAGGGAGGAAAGGAGGAAGGAAGGACAGAUGGAAGGAAGGAAGGAAGGAAGGGAAAUCUGAACUCAGUGCUGAACUGGGAUGAAAAUGAUCAAGAAAAGAAAUCUCUAACCAUGCCCCUUCCUCCCGGCCACACCCUGCCCUUCUCCUGACCCUCCUGAUCCUCCUGAUCCUCUAGAGACAAACUCUCCCACCAGAAGGACAAGCAAUUUCCUCUGUACUUCAGAUCCUGGGCAACCAUAGCCUGUCGUUCCCAGCCCAAGUGUUGGAAACUGGACUCCUUUUUAGGUGACAACAUCAAAACUACCUGCAAGUCUCACUUCAUGGAACACAACAGAAACUCUGCAUAAGAAAAAAGGAAAUCCACAAAGCUUGUAGAAUGCCAGGGUCUCUCACUGUUGUCCAGGAUGAAG